GGCAAAGGUCUCUACUUCCUGCUUUUGAAUCUGCAGAAAUGCACACCUUAGCAGAGAGUUUAAGAAUAUCAUUCCUGGGAAUCCAGAUGUGAAGUGGGAAAGCAUCAAGGGGUUAGAGAAUGCAAAGCGCCUUCUCAAGGAAGCAGUUGUGAUGCCAAUAAAGUAUCCCAAGUAGGUCUCAUUAAGUCUGGCAAUGCCUCAUGGAUAGUUCUAUUAAAAUUGUUGAGAAUUAUUUGAGAAAUUUUCUUUUAGAUGAAUAAUUUUUUAGCUUUUGAAGCUCAUUACGUUAGGUAAGCUUUGUAUUGCAUAUUGCGCCACUUUUUAUCCAUUCAUUUCUUA